CAAGCCCUGGAAACGGGGUCUAAUACCGGAUAUGACAUCCUCCCGCAUGGGAAGGGUGUGGAAAGCUCCGGCGGUGCAGGAUGAGCCCGCGGCCUAUCAGCUUGUUGGUGGGGUGAUGGCCUACCAAGGCGACGACGGGUAGCCGGCCUGAGAGGGCGACCGGCCACACUGGGACCGAGACACGGCCCAGACUCCUACGGGAGGCAGCAGUGGGGAAUAUUGCACAAUGGGCGAAAGCCUGAUGCAGCGACGCCGCGUGAGGGAUGACGGCCUUCGGGUUGUAAACCUCUUUCAGCAGGGAAGAAGCGAAAGUGACGGUACCUGCAGAAGAAGCACCGGCUAACUACGUGCCAGCAGCCGCGGUAAUACGUAGGGUGCGAGCGUUGUCCGGAAUUAUUGGGCGUAAAGAGCUCGUAGGCGGCCUGUCACGUCGGAUGUGAAAGCCCGGGGCUUAACCCCGGGUCUGCAUUCGAUACGGGCAGGCUAGAGUUCGGUAGGGGAGAUCGGAAUUCCUGGU
rnacentral:rRNA from 1 species